AAUUAAUAUAACUGCUUUUAAAUGAAAUAUCAUUAGCCAUAAGGCAUAAUCUGUUUGAUCGUGCAGGAUCUCAAAACAGGACGCAAUAUACCAAGACAUCUAUCUCAUCACCUCUCGAUGAUUUAAUUUAUUACGCCACUCAACGCAACAUCCAAACGAUUUACUAGCCAAGAUUCGCUAUUAAUUCCCCCGUAUCCAAUCUUCCGAGCCGUGUGACAGUUGUUUAUCAAUUAAAACUCGUUCGCUCGUGAAAAUACGAUGCUGUGACACGGCUACUUACACGAGCCACCGCUAUCGAAGUUAUCCCGAAAUUUCAAUCUCCAACGACGCCGUUCGAUCGACGCAAUUAAUGCGACUGCCUUUAAUUAUCUUUCUCGUCUCCUUCAAAGGAGAAGAGGAACCACGCUCGGAACAAGGAAGGAAAAUAUCAAAGGAACACUGAAAGAAACACGAAGAUAAAUGGAAAGAGAGAGACCAAUCUUGGCACAGGCGUGUAAAUAAAGAGGUUUAUUUAUACGCGUGCAAUUAACCAGUGAGCAGAUCGGCAGUCGCAGAUGCAACUCUGCUCGAAGUGCAUCAAGUAGCUACUUAUCCACAGCGGUAACUGCGCUGGUGAUAGCGUUAAUAGCGGUGCGUGUGCGCUCGACUAAAGGUCGUUAAUGCGACGUUAUCCAGGAAAUAGGGCGUCCGUUUUAUCGGUCCCGUCGUUUCGUCGCAUUUUUCGGUGGCCACGCUGUUAUCGUCUGGUCGAUAAAACGUUGUCCGUGAUGGAACAUCGAGAAAUAAUGUCGUCGUUGCUCAGUCGAUCGGUUUUGCGGCGAAUAUUUAAAAGAGGAAGCGUGUUUCGCCAUAUCGGGCCACUUUUAGUCGAUAGAUAAGUAACUCGAUUUUUAGAUCAUCGAAGAAUACGUGUUGACGUAUUGCUGGGAAAAUGUUGAUGAUAGAAAGAGAUGGGAUGACAGGGUUGGUGAAAAUACCAGAGAUUUGAUAGUUUAUUGCAAUGGUAUCGUCUCAUCGGUUUAUUUUAGGAGGAUGUUUGAAGGGGAAUGUCGAACCGGUGAUUUUAUGAGGAUAUUUUUGAUUUGUGCAGGAGUGGAUUGAUAAGAUCGAUGUAAAGUAGCAGAAGUAACAUUCCUAAGAGACAUUCCUAAAUGAAGAUAUUGUCGUGGUAAACAUUAGAUCGUGGAUAUUUAGCUAAUGCACGUUCCGUGGGUACCAGAGUGAAAAAAAUACGCGAUCGCAAGGUAGCGGAAGGAAGCAACCUAUUUUUGUGGCUGGAGAGCCCGUACGAUGGGACUCAGCGUGGGGUUCGUUUCUUUUUGGUCGGUGAUACUAGAUGCCCCGUCUAGGGGAGGUCUUUGACGAAGACGAAGGCGAACACGACGAUGGGUAAAGGAAGAUCGAGAAGAUGAAUAAGAGAAAAGAAGGAAAAAGGAUGGAUCGAGCGACGAAAUAAAGAGAAGGA